rnacentral:ncRNA from 1 species
UGAAAGUUUUAUUUUAGCUUAAAAAUUAAAUUUUAUUAUUUAUUAUAUGUAAAUUUUAUUUGAGAAUAGAUUGCAGUAGAUAAAUUUAAUUAUUAAAGAAAUUUGGAAUUAGAAAUUUUAAAUAAUAUUGACUUAAUUUGUGCCAGCAGUUGCGGUUAUACAAAUAAUAUAAUUUAAUUUUAUUUAUAUUAAUUAAAUAUUUAUUUAUAAUUAUAUAAUAAAAUUUAUUAGGUGAAAUUUUAAAUUUUUAUAAAAUUAUAUUUUUAAAUUGAAGUUAAGAAAUUUAAAUUUUAAACUAGGAUUAGAUACUCUAUUAUUUUAAAUGUAAAAUUUUUAUUUAAUUAUUAUUAGUUAUGGUCUUUAAAAUUAAAAAUUUUGGCGGUAUUUUAGUCUUUUUAGAGGAACCUGUUCUUUAAAUGAUAAUCCACGAUUUUAUUAACUUUUAUUAUUAAUUUGUAUAUCGUCGUAAUUAAAUAUUUUUUUAGAAUUAAAAUAUUUAAAAUUUUUAUAAAAAAAUUAAUCAGAUCAAGGUGCAGUUUAUAUAGAAGUAGAAAUGGGUUACAAUAAAUUUAUUUUUGAAUUUUAAAUAUUAGUAUUUAAAUGAAAUUGGAUUUAAAUGUAAUAUUAAUUAAUUAGUUAAUAUGAUUUUGGCUCUAAGGUAUGUACAUAUUGCCCGUCGCUUUCAUUUAAUAUGAAAUAAGUCGUAACAAAGUAGAUUUACUGGAAAGUGAAUCUAGAUUAUC